UUACAUUUAUUACUUAAGUGUACACUUAGCUUUAUGGUUCGUGGCAUCAUCAUCAUAUCAGCCGAUGGACUUCCACUGCGGGACAUAGGCCUUUUGUAAGGACUUACAAAGUAUUUUCCAAGGAUCCUGAGCCGUUCACCCUUCGUGUUGUUUGUGGCAACCCUUAGCCAAGCACCGUUACAUCAUAUAAACUUUUUGCGUGGGUUCAGCAGGCUGAUUAUGUAUCUCGACGUAUCACUUCUAACUGUGUAACGCAAAGCUAAAUGGAACACUAGAGUGUUUUUGCAAUUCCGAUUAUGUAAGACAAAAGACAGCCACAAUGCCUAGUGAUAUCGUUCUAGGCGCAAAAUUUUAUCGACAUUAUGCGACUAAAUAAAAUACACCCUUUCCCGGUACUACUUACUACGGGUGCGGCAUACUUUUGCACAUAUACGCAUUAUACUUGAUUUUGCUGUUUGUCUGUGGUGAAGUGAAGUGCCAUAGUUUCUUUGUUGGUAAACAAAGCCGUAUUAAAAUAUUAAUAAAAAAAUUGGUUUCGUUGGAUCAAAGUACUUGCUACUGCUAGUUUUUUGUUUUCAAUAGAAGUAAUUAAUUAAUCAUUUUAUCGUAUACAUUUUUAUUAGUGUUAAUAGUUAAUUUAUCAAAGUAAACGGCCACUUUUACAUAAAACAUUAUCUACACGAAAGUUCUUCAAAGUUUUAUCGUCUGCCUAUGAUUAAUUUAAUGGUCGUUGUGAUAAUAUGUAAAGUAUAUUUUAUAGUGUUUUGUAUAUUAAAGUUUAUCGCUUGCAACUAAAGAUGUCCGGGAAACUCAAUGAUCGCCAAUUGGAACUCUAAUUGGAGAUUGCAGAGUGCCACCCAAACUUGGCGAUGGGUUGUUUUGGAGGGCCUUUGGAAAGUCAGGCUACUAAAUAAACCUUCCGUGUUCGCGUCUGCCAGUGGCGUUGUAUCAACAUGAAGAUGUGGGCUCUAAACUUUGAGUGCCAGGGACUGACUAUGGAAGUCUCCAUGUCGCUGGUCACCAUUGAGGUGCAAAACACCUUGAAAAAAUUGGUGAUUCUGAAUCCUUCAUCUCUAUGAACAAUUCAUGAAGAAAGAAUUAAACAAACAUUUAAUGAACAGAUUUUUUAUAAGAUUAUUAUCAAUAAUGACAUUGCAUAUGAGAGAAAAUUGUCAAAUAUAAUUUCAUUUUAAUUUAAUAUAGUUAAUUAUGACAUCACUGUAUAUAAAGAAUAUGAUUAUUAUCAUUUGGUUAAUUUCAGUAUUACAUAGUAUUAGAUAAAAAUUUUAUUGUAAAAUUGCACAUCAAAAUAUGUUUUAUUAUCUAUUAUUAGGAGGAAAUAUUAUUUAACUAUUAUUAUUAUCCCUAAUAGCCCAGUGAAUGUGACUUCUGCCUACAAUUCCGGAGGGUGUGGGUUCGAACCCGUUCCGGGGCACGCACCUCCAACUUUUCAGUUGUGUGCAUUUUAAGAAACUAAAUAUCACGUGUCUCAAACAGUGAAGGAAAACAUCGUGAGGAAACCUGCAUACCAGAGAAUUCUCUUAAUUCUCUGCAUAUGUGAUGUCUGCCAAUGUAAUCCAAAUAUGCUGGCCCAUAUUCGGCUCCUGUCAGAAUGAGAGGGGUUAGGCAUUGGCCUUCCCUUACCUUAUCAGCCGAUAGACGUCCACUGCUGGACAUAGGCCUCUUACAUGGACCUCCAAGCACAACGACCUUGAGCCGCGAACAUCCAAACAACCGACCAACCACGCUUUCCAGUGCGGGGUCUCCCGAGUGCGGGUAGGCACUAACCCCUCUUACUGGGGGAGACUCGAGCUCAGCAGUGAGCCGAAUAUGUGUUUAUAAUGAUGAUGAUGAUGAUUAUUUAAGUAAUUGUAAAAGAAAAAAUUGAAUACUACAUUAGUUGUUUAUCUAUACAAUUCAAUAAUUUUAAGAACAAAACAUGUGCCUACCACAUUGUAGGAAAUAAAUAAAUAAUGAUUUGAUUAAAAACAAUGUUGUUUAAUGUUAAGCAGGUAGGGCCAGGUAGUUCUAUAUUUGUGUAACAUCUAUUACUUAAAAAUAAAAAAUAUAUUUACUUG